AUGGCAUGGGGCUUGAGGUGGCAUCCUCAGCAGCGGUGCUGGCUGUGCUGGGACUGAAGUAGAGGUCGGGGUGGUGGCAACCAGCUGAGACUGCUGAAGGGCCCAGGCCUCUUAUUCAGCCCCAGCACUGCCACCACCGCCAAGGGAUGCUGCUGUGCAGGGCAGCCAAACGUGCAGAGAUGGGUGGGGGGAGUUGAAAUGCCCCUGCAGUUGUAAGUGCGGGCAGGCUGCCAAUUGCCGGAAUUUUGAUCCUGUGACCGCAUGGACACUGCAACAGCUGUAACUUCGAGGACCAGUCAUAAGUCACUUUUUUCAGUGCCAUUGUUAACUUCAAAAAAUUGCUGAACAAAUGGUCAUAAGUCGAGGACUACCUGUACUGUAAAAUUACUGAUAGUUCUAAAGGGUUCACCACUGCAUGUUCUGAUAGCGAGAGUUACAUUCCAGCACAUCUGGAGAAUCCCAGGAAAGGCAAAGCUACACUUAGUAUGCUUAUCAAUCACUUAAAGAAGUGCCCAUAAUCAUUUGUAAAUAAAUUGUACAAGAACCUACAUGGGUCCAAUUAGAAACUGGAAAUAUAGGAAAACAAUAGGUCAUCAAAUCGGUGGCAUUUGCCUAUGAACACAAUGGUUUAUGGUUUAAUGUGACAGCCAUUGGGAAUGUACAUUUCUCUUUGCACCUAGGAAAAUAAGAGGAUGUUUUUUCAAAAAAAAAGUUAUAUCCAAUCAAAAGCACUUUCUUAAUAAAAAAACAAAUUUAAUAAAACUGUCAACAGAAAUAAUAUAUGUAAUAACAGGAUAUGUCAUAUCAGACUUCUGGAUUCUUUUUAUCAUGUGUGAAUCAACUUCUAAUCUUUUAUUAAUGACCAGUCUCUUAAUUACAGGUACAUGUAUGCACAUAUUUUCCUGAUUUUUUUUCCCCUGCCUGCUCUCACACAACCUUUGAGUGUUCUUUAUGCAAAUUAAAAGCCAAGUUUGUUCUAAAUGUGGCUUUUGAGUUCUUUGCAUAAACUGUGUGUAUGAUUAAUUAUGCUGUCAGAAAUCUCACUCGGCCCUAGUGGAAUUUUUGUUUAAUCAUGGGGGGGGGGGAAUCUCUUUAAAUCACCUGAUGUUGGCAGUCUGAGGGACUUUAACUGGUUGUUCAUGGCUCCCAUUCAAAUUGCUUCAUUAAGAAUCUCAAAUGCUCUAAAAAGUAUGUUUGCUGCAUGUGUGUUCAUGGGGUUAAGUUUGGUUUGGCUUGGUUAUCAAUUAAGCUAAACCCCUUUUUUGGCGGGGGGGGGGGACAGCAUUGCAGAGUAAAAGACCUAUCUGAAAAUAAUUAGGCAAGAUACUACUCUGGCAAGCUUUAACUGGGUUUAGAUGUAGAAAAAUGUAGAAGAUACAAGAAAACCAACUGAGCAAGAACAGAAAAUGUGUUAAUGCCACUGAUCUCUGGCUCCACCUCUUUUUCCAAUCGUUGGUCUGGUUUUAUGAGGAGCUUGGUGAUGUGGUUUGUGCUUCUGCACACAGAAUUGUACAUGCGUGUAGUACAGCUAGAGAUGAUGAUAGUUGUGAUAUAGGUCUAUUUUUAGGCUACUCAGAAAGAUAAGACCUCAUAAGUGACCAGCAGGGACUGAGUAACCCCAAAGCCUCCAGUGACAUGAAGAAUUUAAUAAUAGCUUGCCAGUCAGAAGGUGGUGUGAUGGUGGCAGAUAUUUAAACCCAAGUAUGCUUCAGUUGCAAUGAGUGCAAGUCCAGCUUUAAAAAUAAAUUAAGCCUAAGAGUGGUAUUCUGUGGAGAAAAAGAAAACUGCCAUCAACCACCUUUCCACUACGUCAAAGGAAACUGAGCUGUUUGUGGUUCUUAGAAUUUCACACUUCUCAAUAACAGGCACUCACACCGUAAAAGCUAUACUAGUGUGCCAGGUCGCACAGUAUGAAAAAGAAUCAAGGUGAUUCUAUUGCUUCCAUUUUAUUUUUUGCACCUGUGUACUGCCUGACAACAGUUGCCUGAAAGACUCCGCAGCAAAAGAUCCAAACCAAUAGAAGAAUAUAGAAAGUUUGCAGACAACUCGUAACAUUUGUAUUUUGAGAAACUUCCACUAAAGAAAUAGGCUGGUGUUUCUCUGGAGCACCCAUAUGGAUUGGUGAUCUAGUUGGAAUUGGAAGUUGCCACCAAUUCCCAAAGCUCCCAUAUUGAAAGAAAAAUUCUAGUGUCCUUCAUCACCUUUGGUUUCUGAGGAGCUGGCUAUGGUACAAUGACAGGUUCUGCAUCUGUUCAACCAUGAUGUAAGGCAGAUAUUACUGAGCAAUAUUCAUCAUUCCAUGCUGGAGAACUGGCCAUCUUAUUUCUCCAUUCCUGUGUCUUCAGAGGUAGUUGCUUCUUGU